CAAUAGCGCAUAUUUAAGUUGCUGCAGUUAAAAAGCUCGUAGUUGGAUUUCGGGUGGGAAUGGCCGGUCCGCCGUUUCGGUGUGCACUUGCUACGCCCACCUUGCUGCCGGGGACGUGCUCUUGAGUUCACGCUCGGGACACGGAGUCGGCGAGGUUACUUUGAGUAAAUUAGAGUGUUCAAAGCAGGCCUACGCUCUGAAUACAUUAGCAUGGAAUAACACGAUAGGACUCUGGCCUAUCUUGUUGGUCUGUAGGACCGGAGUAAUGAUUAAGAGGGACAGUCGGGGGCAUUCGUAUUUCAUUGUCAGAGGUGAAAUUCUUGGAUUUAUGAAAGACGGACUACUGCGAAAGCAUUUGCCAAGGAUGUUUUCAUUAA
rnacentral:rRNA from 1 species